rnacentral:rRNA from 1 species
GACGAACGCUGGCGGCGUGCUUAACACAUGCAAGUCGAACGGAAAGGCCCUGCUUUUGUGGGGCGCUCGAGUGGCGAACGGGUGAGUAACACGUGAGUAACCUGCCCUUGACUUUGGGAUAACUUCAGGAAACUGGGGCUAAUACCGGAUAGGAGCUCCUGCUGCAUGGUGGGGGUUGGAAAGUUUCGGCGGUUGGGGAUGGACUCGCGGCUUAUCAGCUUGUUGGUGGGGUAGUGGCUUACCAAGGCUUUGACGGGUAGCCGGCCUGAGAGGGUGACCGGCCACAUUGGGACUGAGAUACGGCCCAGACUCCUACGGGAGGCAGCAGUGGGGAAUAUUGCACAAUGGGCGGAAGCCUGAUGCAGCAACGCCGCGUGCGGGAUGACGGCCUUCGGGUUGUAAACCGCUUUCGCCUGUGACGAAGCGUGAGUGACGGUAAUGGGUAAAGAAGCACCGGCUAACUACGUGCCAGCAGCCGCGGUGAUACGUAGGGUGCGAGCGUUGUCCGGAUUUAUUGGGCGUAAAGGGCUCGUAGGUGGUUGAUCGCGUCGGAAGUGUAAUCUUGGGGCUUAACCCUGAGCGUGCUUUCGAUACGGGUUGACUUGAGGAAGGUAGGGGAGAAUGGAAUUCCUGGUGGAGCGGUGGAAUGCGCAGAUAUCAGGAGGAACACCAGUGGCGAAGGCGGUUCUCUGGGCCUUUCCUGACGCUGAGGAGCGAAAGCGUGGGGAGCGAACAGGCUUAGAUACCCUGGUAGUCCACGCUGUAAACGGUGGGUACUAGGUGUGGGGUCCAUUCCACGGGUUCCGUGCCGUAGCUAACGCUUUAAGUACCCCGCCUGGGGAGUACGGCCGCAAGGCUAAAACUCAAAGGAAUUAACGGGGCCCCGCACAAGCGGCGGAGCAUGCGGAUUAAUUCGAUGCAACGCGUAGAACCUUACCUGGGUUUGACAUGGAUCGGGAGUGCUCAGAGAUGGGUGUGCCUCUUUUGGGGUCGGUUCACAGGUGGUGCAUGGCUGUCGUCAGCUCGUGUCGUGAGAUGUUGGGUUAAGUCCCGCAACGAGCGCAACCCUUGUUCACUGUUGCCAGCACGUUAUGGUGGGGACUCAGUGGAGACCGCCGGGGUCAACUCGGAGGAAGGUGGGGAUGACGUCAAGUCAUCAUGCCCCCUAUGUCCAGGGCUUCACGCAUGCUACAAUGGCUGGUACAGAGAGUGGCGAGCCUGUGAGGGUGAGCGAAUCUCGGAAAGCCGGUCUCAGUUCGGAUUGGGGUCUGCAACUCGACCUCAUGAAGUCGGAGUCGCUAGUAAUCGCAGAUCAGCAACGCUGCGGUGAAUACGUUCCCGGGGCU